CCGAGUUGCAAAACUCCCAAACCCACCGUCUAUCUAUCUCGAAAAGAGUGCCUGCCUCGGCGCCCGCCGGAGGGGCCCCCAAUUCGUACCGUUAGUGUCUCUCUGAGCUCAAAGACCAAAUCGUCA
rnacentral:misc_RNA from 1 species